UACAGAGGGGGCAAGCGUUAUUCGGAAUUAUUGGGCGUAAAGGGCGCGUAGGCGGUUUUGUAAGUGACGGGUGAAAGCCCUCGGCUUAACCGAGGAACUGCCUGUCAGACUGUGAGGCUUGAGACCGGGAGAGGUGAGUGGAAUUCCCAGUGUAGCGGUGAAAUGCGUAGAUAUUGGGAGGAACACCAGUGGCGAAGGCGGCUCACUGGACCGGAACUGACGCUGAGGCGCGAAAGCGUGGGGAGCAAACAGG
rnacentral:rRNA from 1 species